GCGUGGAUUACUUGGUUUCUAAUAAAACUCUUCUCACGCAUCAGAAAGUGGAAGAAACAAGAAGAAAGCGACAGCAUCAAAGAAGGCGUAGUGAAAAAAAGAAGAAGUGGGAAUGGGUUGCUGGGAAAGAGCACAGGGAGAAAGCUCCACAGCUCCCUUCUCCCCGCUCUUCUCGCCUCCUUUCCUUCCUUUUUUUCCUCUUUUUCUCUAUUCGUUGUCGUCGCCAAAACCAGAUCGAUAUAGAA
ensembl:ncRNA F55A12.13 ncRNA